rnacentral:rRNA from 1 species
UACGAAGGGGCUAGCGUUUGUUUCGGAAUCACUGGGCGUAAAGCGGCACGUAGGCGGAUGUGUCAGUCAGGGGUGAAAUCCCGGGGCUCAACCUCGGAACUGCCUUUGAUACAGCACGUCUCGAGUCCGGAAGAGGUGGGUGGAAUUUCCUAGUGUAGAGGUGAAAUUCGUUAGAUAUUAGGAAGAACACCGGUGGCGAAGGCGGCAUCCUGGACCAUGACUGACGCUGAGGAGCGAAAGCCAGGGGAGCA